rnacentral:rRNA from 1 species
AAUCCCCGGGCUCAACCUGGGAACUGCAUCUGAUACUGGCAAGCUUGAGUCUCGUAGAGGGGGGUAGAAUUCCAGGUGUAGCGGUGAAAUGCGUAGAGAUCUGGAGGAAUACCGGUGGCGAAGGCGGCCCCCUGGACGAAGACUGACGCUCAGGUGCGAAAGCGUGGGGAGCAAACAGGAUUAGAUACCCUGGUAGUCCACGCCGUAAACGAUGUCGACUUGGAGGUUGUGCCCUUGAGGCGUGGCUUCCGGAGCUAACGCGUUAAGUCGACCGCCUGGGGAGUACGGCCGCAAGGUUAAAACUCAAAUGAAUUGACGGGGGCCCGCACAAGCGGUGGAGCAUGUGGUUUAAUUCGAUGCAACGCG